rnacentral:rRNA from 1 species
GUUUGAUCCUGGCUCAGGAUGAACGCUAGCGGCAGGCUUAACACAUGCAAGUCGAGGGGUAGGGCAGCAAUGCUUGAGACCGGCGCACGGGUGCGUAACGCGUAUGCAAUCUACCUUUUGCAGAGGGAUAGCCCAGAGAAAUUUGGAUUAAUACCUCAUAGUAUAAUGAAUUCGCAUGGAUUUAUUAUUAAAGUAACAACGGCAAAAGAUGAGCAUGCGUCCCAUUAGCUAGAUGGUAAGGUAACGGCUUACCAUGGCGACGAUGGGUAGGGGUCCUGAGAGGGAGAUCCCCCACACUGGUACUGAGACACGGACCAGACUCCUACGGGAGGCAGCAGUGAGGAAUAUUGGACAAUGGGCGCAAGCCUGAUCCAGCCAUGCCGCGUGCAGGAUGACGGUCCUAUGGAUUGUAAACUGCUUUUGUACAGGAAGAAACCCUCGGACGUGUCCGAGAUUGACGGUACUGUAAGAAUAAGGAUCGGCUAACUCCGUGCCAGCAGCCGCGGUAAUACGGAGGAUCCAAGCGUUAUCCGGAAUCAUUGGGUUUAAAGGGUCCGUAGGCGGUUUAGUAAGUCAGUGGUGAAAGCCCAUCGCUCAACGGUGGAACGGCCAUUGAUACUGCUAGACUUGAAUUAUAAGGAAGUAACUAGAAUAUGUAGUGUAGCGGUGAAAUGCUUAGAUAUUACAUGGAAUACCAAUUGCGAAGGCAGGUUACUACUUAUGGAUUGACGCUGAUGGACGAAAGCGUGGGUAGCGAACAGGAUUAGAUACCCUGGUAGUCCACGCCGUAAACGAUGGAUACUAGCUGUUGGGAGUAAUCUCAGUGGCUAAGCGAAAGUGAUAAGUAUCCCACCUGGGGAGUACGUUCGCAAGAAUGAAACUCAAAGGAAUUGACG